GGUGCCCCUCAGUGGCACUGUGGUAUGUCUGCGAACUUAUACUACUAGAAACCAGGUUACGAUACCCGUGGUGGGCAGAGCACAGAUAACACUUUGUGUAGCUUUGUGCUUAAUAACAAAACAAAUAAAUUAAUCUUACACU